UAUAGCAGAAGCUUGUUUCCGGGAGCGAUCACAGCUUCCCCCUCCCCAUUUGUUCUUUCUCGAUACAUACAUACGUGGGCACUCGCCGACGCAGACGCAUACGCUUAACUUCACGGGCAGGGUGGGGCGUGCGUCUCAACACUCACGCAGCCCUCCGUUUCGUGGUGUUAGCGUGUUAACGUUGUGCCGAUUCGCUCGCGAAGAGGCUGCGACUGACAUCGUCAGCCGGGUGUACGCCGUCGCACGUACACGCUCACGUUGUUGUGUGUGUGUGUGUGUGCUGUGCGUGUUGUGUUUGGGGUCAGCUCUAAUCACAGUGUCGCACGCUUUUUUUUCUUGCACAUUUUGGCACAUUUUCGAUAUUCCGUUGAACGCGUAUAUAUAUAUAUAUAUACGCGUGUGUACACGUGAACCUGCUCUUCUUCCCUUUAUUUUCCUUGUUUGCUUAUUUCUCUCAUUUCGGCUUUUGCCCUGUCGUGCGGCACGGCAAGUUCUCGGUCAUUUGUUGGCGCGUGCCUCGUUUUGUUUUCGUGUGCCUCCUCUCGUGCGUGCUGGUGUUGAUAGUGCUGCGUUCCCGGCUCACUCGGCGCUGGUUCUUUCCCUCGCGCGUCGUUGCCGCCUCCUUCCAUUCAUCGCUCGUGACACACACGUUUGCCCACCAUGUCGGCACCUUAUCCGUCAAGUCCGUCUUUGUCGCCGUCGGUGGGAACGAAGCGCGUGAUCGCGUCCCCGCGCACCGCACAUGACCUCACGAUGCGGCUGGGCAAUGACGGCUUACACGGUAGUCGCUCUGGCAUGGUGUCCCCGCUGACGGAGCUGCUUGCGUCUUCCCCUUCACGUCUGCAGCCGCUCUCCACGGAUGUCGGUCUCUCACCAAGUAACUGGGCUGGCCGGGGGAGCGGCGGUGCUGGAUCGCUGCUACAACCGGCGCGCGAGCAGGCGAGGGUGCCAGCAGCACCUGACAUCACUCCCGCGGCCCCGUCACGUCACACGCGCCGGGGUAGCAGCCUAGGGUGUAGCUCGCCGCCUCAAGCGCCGCUGCAGCGAGAGGGAGGAUCUCUGGCAACCGACGGCGCCUUUGACUCGCAACCCCCGUCGUCUGGGGAGCGGAAUACUUUCCUGACAGUGCCACAGUCGAACACCGGAAAAGGUGUUCCGCCUCCGAAGCGAGGUAUACCGUUGCUCUCGGGAGCGUUGUCGACCCCUUCAUCCUCUUCACAGACGUUUCCACGCACAUCUGUUCCCGCCGCGCUCAACAGCGGCGGCACACGCGACGACAGUGUGCUGGUGCAGCAAACACUGACCAAGUUGUCGACAAACGCAGUCACGGGAGAUAAAGUUCAGCGCGAGUGCGACGCCUCACCCGCCGGGCGCACCGUGCACGAGAGCCCGCUGGGCACGACAGGCGGCGCCAGCGGAGCUGGUAGCGCUUCUCCUUCCACCGGCGUCGCUGGGACGGCGAGUCGCACUCUGGAAACAUAUGCCCUCCCUAAUGCACUUGUAGUCGGCGGGGGAUCCUCGAACUGCACGACACCGCACUCGCUGUCCACGACGAUGGUGAGUCCACACGGCCGCUCGACCUUCGCUGCAUCGAUCUUGACGACGGGCACGCAGCUGACGACGGGGAACGGAACCGCCAGUACGGGCGGCUCCGCUGGGCUUGGUGCCAAUCACAACGGCGCAUGCGCUUUCACGCCUAGCAGCCUCUCGCAAGAUGGCAAUGGAGGUCAGUCCCGGGCGCCACGCCUGGCGAGCCAUCUGUUCCUCGAGGAUGGAUCGAUUCCAGAUAUUUCGUUGCCACCUGCGACUCUGCAGAGCCCGGCGGUGCCGGACGGCCAACAGCACUUUGGUUGCAGCGGCGGCGGUGGCCAUGUGAGCGUCACCGCCCUCGACCAGUCGCGAACGCCGCUGUGCUCUGCCGAGCGGCGGGCAAGCUUAUGCGACGAGAGCAGCGCACUCGCUGCUGUCUCCUUGCCCGCCGACGCGUCGCGACCGACGGCGGCAAACUUUGUGAAGGGCGAGCUGAUUGGGAAAGGCAGCUACGGCGCUGUGUACCGGGGGAUGCAGCGCAACAACAACAGAAUUAUAGCAAUGAAGGAGAUUCGGCUGCCUGGCGUGGUGGAGCAGCAGCUGCGGCAGCCCGAAAAGCUAGCGGCUACGGCGGCGUCGCCUGCGGGUGUGUCGUCGUGUCCGGUGCUGCCGGCAUCGAAUUCAGUCAAGGGAGAGAGUGCAUUGGCGAAGGAGGUGGCGGCUAUCAAACGUGAACUGACGCUUCUCAAGCAGCUGAACCACCCCAACAUUGUCCGCUACCUGAACGACGAGGUUGUCGACGGCACGCUGCGCAUAUACAUGGACUACGUCUCGGGCGGCAGCGUCACGGCCGCGCUCAAGUCGUAUGGCAGCUUCGAGGAGCCGCAGGCGGCCGCGCUGUGUUUUCAACUGCUGCAGGGGCUCGCCUACAUGCACCGCCGUGGCAUCAUCCACCGGGAUUUGAAGGGUGACAACUUGCUUUUGGAGACGUCGAGUCAGCUCAAAAUUGCGGACCUGGGCACCGCCCGGAGCAUUUGCUCGUCGACGACGAUGACGACAAAUAUCGUCGGAACGGCGUACUUUAUGGCUCCGGAAGUACUGCAGCCGAACGGCGCGGCGGUCGGGACGGCGGCGGAUAUCUGGUCCGUUGCCUGCUGCGUAAUCGAGAUGAUGACAGGCAAGCCACCGCUCUCUGACCUGCCGAAUCAGUUCACGGUGAUGAUGGCGAUUGGCGGCUCGGCCACGGUGCCGCUCGACAAGUACAUUCCAGCUGACAACACGUGGUCCAGUGAGGUGCUGGACUUUAUAUCGCAAUGCCUGCGCGCAAACCCGGCACAGAGGCCCACGGCGGUGGAGCUGCUGCAGCACAGCUGGUUCGCAAAGUUUCUGAACGUGGUGCACGUGCCGUCUAUGUCGACGCCGGCGACGCUGAACUCCUUUCUGACCCCCCCGGCCCCGCCCAUUGAGCGCCCUUUCACCUUAUCACCACAGCGGCAAAUGGUGUCCCCAAUAUGCUCGCCUAACUUGACCGCGGUGCUCACGCCAGGCUACGCCGGGCCACAGUAUAGCGCCGGCCAACCGGAAAGCCGUAGCAGCAGCCGCACCAGCAGCCGCACCAGCAGGGAGCGCAAAGGAAAGCGGGACAAGCGGGUCUCGGCGCGGCGUCACACACGCUACUCGACCAGCGGCGCCACGAGCGCGACAUCGCGCCGCUCACAAGAGAGUUCUCAGGCGAGCACGCCGCAGUACAGCAGCAGCACUCGUACGCGCGACGGAUCAGCGCAGAGCGCUUCCUUGCCGCGCUCACACAGCCAUCCAGGGAGGCAGCAGGGCCCCACGUCGAAGCGCAGGGCCCACGCGCACACUCCGGGUCACGGACUCCUCAAGGACGACUCUCGGCAAAGCUCGAGCAGCGAGUACGCGAUGCCGCACCACACGUGCACCCCCGGUAGCGGUAGCGCCGGCGCCGGCGGCGGCGGUGACGGCAGCGGGGAUAACAAAACCAAAACAGUGUUCCUCCCCGCCAUCACACACAACGGAAGCGUAGCACUGUCACCGUGCGGCUACUCCCUCGACAUGUUGCGUUGCAGCCGAUCGCUGAAGAACAGCGGCAGCUCGCGAGAGCCGGUGAAGGCUUGCUUGCACACUACCGAUGCGGAGAACAAGAGCCGAGACUUGCUGCACCUCGGCCAAUGCCUAAGCGACCACCACCAGUCCUUCUCCCGCGACCUCGUCGACUCGUCUAUGCAGCAUGGAGGUGUCACCAAGGCCGGGGUGGAAAGCGGAUUGAGCACGCGUGGUGCUGGGAGCCACAGCAUGAUCGACGACCUGGAAGGCAUGGGCCAGCGGACGCUGCCCCCCAGCAUCUCCGCACUCCCCUCGACGUCGUGCAAAAACACUCGCGCCAGCGAGGGAGCUAGUUAGAGGACCUGUCUUGCUAUGGCGCCGAAUAUGUGCGUUUGUGUGUUUGUUCGUGUAUGCAGUCAACGCGCUUGCUCGCUUCGGCUGCUCUCCGGGCGUCAUACCAUGCGGAGGUCCGUUCUUGUGCAUCUGUGUAUUGUGGCGAAGGCUCUCCAUCGUUAGUGAGCGCAUGCGUCCGGCAAACUGCCCUUUGCCCUGCGACCUCCACCUGCUUCCGCAGACGCACACACGCACAUUUUCCUCUUCAUCCGCUUCCCACAGCAAGCCGGUAGGGCUCUAUGGCGGACUCAAAAGUGUUUUCUUUCCUUCUCGCUCUCUUUACGGGGGUUCGUUGGCGCCCUUCUCGUGUUGUUGUACAGUUUUUUCUCCCGGCGGCCAGAGCCGAGGAGGCGCACCGGCAUUGGGCGCCAGCGCUGAUGCUCGUGCAUCGAAUACACCCCGCGAUGCGCCCUGCCCCCUUGUUGCUGCUGUUCUGCUGCCACGCUGUCACUGGAACUCCCCGCUCGGGUGGCCCUUCCAUUUCAUAGCUGGCGUGCUGGGAUCGGUCCCACCCCAUCGAGUUGCCGCUCGCAUCUCCAUCAUGUGAGACGGGAAAGCCGGAGGGAUGGAUGGCCGCGCAGUCCCGUGCGUGCGCACCAGAGGUACACAUGCAGCCCCUACACACCACCUCGAGGAAAUAAGGCUCGGGGCAAACGGCGCGAUCGCACACACUCGUCAUGUCGGAUGAAUGCGGCUGUACGUAUGCUACGGGUGGCAAGGCCGAUCCUCUACACUGACCCUCUCCUCCCCUCGCCUCUUCUCACCCACGCUGGCGAGGCAGAGGAAGUAUUGAGGUGCUGUGUGUGUGUUAAAGUGCUGUUCUUGGCUGUGUGCCUCUUGUCCAUCGUUUUAUUGCCCCCCUCGCACGUCUGCCGUGGCUUGGCGUCUGCGCCUCUCAGGCGUGCAACAGGCGAAGAGCGUACGAUAUUGUCCGCUUCUCCCUGUUGUGCGCGCGUCUCUCCCGUCACCUACCUUUGUGGGGUGUGGGUGUCUGUCUGCUCGCACCCGAACGGUGUGGGCCGGCGCGCAUGUCGUCUCCUUCCCCUCCGCUAUGUGUCUCUGUAUGCGUAUCUGCUCGUCUGCCUCCGUCAACGCCUCACGUAAUCUCCUACUUGCUGCUGCCGUCACGCCCGCCCUCUUUCUUCUCCCUUAAG
rnacentral:misc_RNA from 1 species